CAAUAGCGUAUAUUUAAGUUGUUGCAGUUAAAAAGCUCGUAGUUGGAUUUCGGAUGGGACUUGCCGGUCCGUCGUUUCGAUGUGCACUGGCCAGUCCUAUCUUGUUGUCGGGGACUAGCUCCUGGGCUUCACUGUCCGGGACUAGGAGCUGACGAGGUUACUUUGAGUAAAUUAGAGUGUUCAAAGCAAGCCUACGCUCUGAAUACAUUAGCAUGGAAUAACACGAUAGGACUCUGGCUUAUCUUGUUGGUCUGUGAGACCAGAGUAAUGAUUAAGAGGGACAGUCGGGGGCAUUCGUAUUUCAUUGUCAGAGGUGAAAUUCUUGGAUUUAUGAAAGAUGAACUUCUGCGAAAGCAUUUGUCAAGGAUGUUUUCAUUAA
rnacentral:rRNA from 1 species